AGAGUUUGAUCCUGGCUCAGGAUGAACGCUAGCGGCAGGCUUAACACAUGCAAGUCGAGGGGCAGCGGGGAGGAAGCUUGCUUUCUCCGCCGGCGACCGGCGCACGGGUGAGUAACACGUAUGCAACCUGCCCCUGUCAGGGGGACAACCCGCCGAAAGGCGGGCUAAACCCGCGUACAUGCCACCGGGGCAUCCCGGAGGCAGGAAAGGCUUCGGCCGGACAGGGAUGGGCAUGCGGCGCAUUAGGCAGUAGGCGGGGUAACGGCCCACCUAACCGACGAUGCGUAGGGGUUCUGAGAGGAAGGUCCCCCACACUGGUACUGAGACACGGACCAGACUCCUACGGGAGGCAGCAGUGAGGAAUAUUGGUCAAUGGUCGGGAGACUGAACCAGCCAAGCCGCGUGAGGGAGGAAGGUACAGAGUAUCGUAAACCUCUUUUGUCAGGGAACAAAGGCGGGGACGUGUCCCCGGAUGAGUGUACCUGAAGAAAAAGCAUCGGCUAACUCCGCGCCAGCGGCCGCGGUAAUACGGAGGAUGCGAGCGUUAUCCGGAUUUAUUGGGUUUAAAGGGUGCGCAGGCGGUCUGUUAAGUCAGCGGUCAAAGCCCGGGGCUCAACCCCGGCCCGCCGUUGAAACUGGCAGUCUCGAGUUGGAGAGAAGUAUGCGGAAUGCGCGGUGUAGCGGUGAAAUGCAUAGAUAUCGCGCAGAACUCCGAUUGCGAAGGCAGCAUGCCGGCUCCACACUGACGCUGAGGCACGAAAGCGUGGGUAUCGAACAGGAUUAGAUACCCUGGUAGUCCACGCAGUAAACGAUGAAUGCUGGCUGUCCGGGGGGAUUGACCCCUGGGUGGCGAAGCGAAAGCGAUAAGCAUUCCACCUGGGGAGUACGCCGGCAACGGUGAAACUCAAAGGAAUUGACGGGGGCCCGCACAAGCGGAGGAACAUGUGGUUUAAUUCGAUGAUACGCGAGGAACCUUACCCGGGCUCAAACGGGGAGUGACUCAGGCAGAGACGCCUGUUUCCCACGGGACACUCCCCGAGGUGCUGCAUGGUUGUCGUCAGCUCGUGCCGUGAGGUGUCGGCUUAAGUGCCAUAACGAGCGCAACCCCCGCGUGCAGUUGCUAACAGAUAACGCUGAGGACUCUGCACGGACUGCCGGCGCAAGCCGCGAGGAAGGCGGGGAUGACGUCAAAUCAGCACGGCCCUUACGUCCGGGGCGACACACGUGUUACAAUGGGUGGUACAGCGGGAAGCCAGGCGGCGACGCCGAGCGGAACCCGAAAUCCACUCUCAGUUCGGAUCGGAGUCUGCAACCCGACUCCGUGAAGCUGGACUCGCUAGUAAUCGCGCAUCAGCCAUGGCGCGGUGAAUACGUUCCCGGGCCUUGCACACACCGCCCGUCA
rnacentral:rRNA from 1 species